GGGUCUGUAGCUCAGUUGGUUAGAGCAGGGGACUCAUAAUCCAUUGGUCCGGGGUCCAAGUCCCUGAGGGCCCA
rnacentral:tRNA from 1 species